rnacentral:rRNA from 1 species
UAGGGAAUCUUCCGCAAUGGACGCAAGUCUGACGGAGCAACGCCGCGUGAGUGAAGAAGGAUUUCGGUUCGUAAAACUCUGUUGUUAGAGAAGAACAGCGCAUAGAGUAACUGUUAUGCGUGUGACGGUAUCUAACCAGAAAGCCACGGCUAACUACGUGCCAGCAGCCGCGGUAAUACGUAGGUGGCAAGCGUUGUCCGGAUUUAUUGGGCGUAAAGCGAGCGCAGGCGGUCAAUUAAGUCUGAUGUGAAAGCCCCCGGCUCAACCGGGGAGGGUCUUUGGAAACUGGUUGACUUGAGUGCAGAAGAGGAGAGUUGAAUUCCAUGUGUAGCGGUGAAAUGCGUAGAUAUAUGGAGGAACACCAGUGGCGAAGGCGACUCUCUGGUCUGUAACUGACGCGGAGGCUCGAAAGCGUGGGUAGCAAACAGG